rnacentral:lncRNA from 1 species
GGCAACCAAACGGGCUUUGUAGGUCUCCACCUUUCCAUCUGCGCACCUCUUCCUCUUGAAAACCCACUUAUAUCCUAUGGGUUUAACCCCUUCAGUGGGUCAACCUAUUAGAGUUUUAUGGUUUCAUACAUGCAAAAAAAUUUCAAGAUGAGUACGCAACAGAAUUUUAAAAUUUUUAGAUUAAAUCAAAUUUAAUCUAAGUAUGUAUAAGAUCAAAUCUAAAACCAUAAAUAGGAUCUACAUAUGUG